GACGUACUGCGCGAACGUUAUUCGGAAUCACUGGGCUUAAAGGGUGCGUAGGCGGCCAUGUAAGUGGGGUGUGAAAUCCCUCGGCUCAACCGAGGAACUGCGCUCCAUACUGCAUGGCUUGAGGGAGACAGGGGUAAGCGGAACUGAUGGUGGAGCGGUGAAAUGCGUUGAUAUCAUCAGGAACACCGGUGGCGAAAGCGGCUUACUGGGUCUCUUCUGACGCUGAGGUACGAAAGCUAGGGGAGCGAACGGG
rnacentral:rRNA from 1 species